ACCUGCAUGUUGUGACAUUAGACACACGUAGAUCUAGAUAUGUGCAGCGGCUAUAUCAAGACUAUAAAGAAGAAAUUACUAAUAUCCUUCCAUUUGCAGGUCUGUCGAGUGAAGAAAUUGAAAAUGGGAAGGAAUUUGUGAAAGAUUUAUGGCAUUACAGCGACAGCAAGCUUGAACGAACGUAAACGUAAGAGGAAUGAAACGAACAAGGGGGAGCUGUUUUAGAGACAAGACUCUCUUAAUACUACUAUUAGUUCUACAACUGUCAAACUCAGACGUCCCAGCGGGAAAGAGGACGACCCUCUCUGUUCGUAAUGAUGAUUACUGAUCUGGAAAUUGUAAUUGCACCGGUCUCUGUAUCCAUCUAAAGAUUUUUUUAUGAUCAACUCUAAUAUUUGUAAAUAUAAAAACUAAGUAAGAACAUUUUUUUGGGGGGGACCCAGUCCUGGAGACGAUGAUUGAUUUCAGUAGGAAAUUCUAAUGGAAUAAAGAAGACAUGAAAUAACAACAGAAUUUUCUUCAUCCCAGAAUUAAGACAAGAAUCUCCAAGCCAUCUCUGAGGAACCAGGACACCUCAGAUUGAACAAGAUGUCGAGGUCUAGUUUCAUUCAUCGUUGGACUGAUUUGAACUGUAUUUGCCAGUCAUCUGGUAAGGCGGUGCACCAAAAGGAAGAACAGUUGUGAUGAGGAACUGAAGACGAAUCAAGCCCAAACUCUACUACAUUAUCUAACAGUGACUUUUGCAGAUUAAAAGGAAUUUCAUAGAUUAUAUCUGUGUUAGGGACAACAAAAGCAUCCAUAAUUAUCUCAGUGUUGAAGACUUUAUGUAGGAUACUGAGGCUAUUUCUCCUUUCAGGAGAUCUUGUAAAAUUUUUAACAAAGGAAAUUGUUAUCUACAUCUAGCAUGCAGCUCACAAUUACAAAUGGGACAAGUAUAGUGUACCAGAAUGUAACUGUCAAUUUAGUUGUUGCUAAUGAUUGAAGUGAAGUAGAAAAAAUAAUCUAUUGAACUUAAAUGUUGGAAAGAGACAUAGGGAAUUGAUUCAGAGUAUAAAAUGGGAAUGUUUUCAGUAGCUUUAAUUGCCCUAAGACUGCCUUAGUUUAAAGCCUCAUAAGUAGCUAUGUAAAGUGUCAAGCACAGUAUUAGUCAUUAUAUUACACUACUGAAGGUGCAUAGAGUUUCAAAAAAUGGUCUUGUAAGGGACCGAACAGAAACAAAGUAAUUUCAGUCAGUGUUAGCAGUUCUGUUUUAAAUAGAACUAGAUGUGUUUAACUUUGUAAAUGUAAAUGCUAUGAUAACUCUGUAAAUGUAAAUGGUGAUAAAUUCACUUUUUAUUAACUUGAAUUUAUAGGUUUUUGUAAACAUUUUGGAGUUCAUGUUUGCUACAGUGUCUUGAUAUAAUGUAGAAACGUUUUAGGGCUUUUGGAGGUUAAGGUAUAAUUCAUUUUUUUUAACAUAGUUCAUAUUAUUCCCAUCGAAUUUCAGUAAUAUGUUGACUGUAAUUGUUAAAACUUUCAACGCUAGAAUUAGAAUAAUGGGAAAACUUGUAAAACACUGUAAUAGCUGUCCAGUUGGUCAACAAUCCCAGAUAGUAUUUAUUUGUUAGGUUGUCAAGGUAUGAAAUUGUGGUAAAUCUGUCUGUAAAGUUAACAUGUGUCAGUCACCAAAUAUUAAAGCCAUUUCACAAGUUUUUGCGUCAUUAAUUUUGAUCAUAACUUAAGUUGUGAGUUUCCUCUAGUCUUAAUUUUUGAGUAGGUAUCUAUUUUUUGUUAGUACUAUGGCCAAAGUGAGGAGAGGACCAGCAUCUGUAAACAUUCAUGUAUAAACCUGAAAAUUGGAAAGGCUUAAAAAUGCUGGGGUCAGCAUUGCAGUGCCCCAAAUGGGGGAGCAUGUCCCCAGCAGGAGGUAUUAUAAGCAGCCAGUUGUCAGCACUGAAGCUGAUUCAAAAGGACUGUUUUCUAAUCUGACAGCUUAAGAUUGGUCAAAUGGGAAUACUGUGCUAAAGCCUUGUAUACUUAUACAUCCCUUUUGUUUUCAGAGAAGUAUUCCAAUUUUCUGAAGAAUAUAUAGACCCUUUUAAAUGUGGCUAUUACUGUGGCAGGCCUAAGCUUGCUUGCCAGAUACACAAAAAGCGAACUACAAAAGCAUUGCAGUCAACUAGGACUAAGAGGUAUUUGGACGAAUAAAGAUGCCUUAGUUGAUAAAAAUAUUGGAGAGAAUCAUCCAUCGCGUGCUCCCAGCCAAGAAAGAGACCGUGAAUUACAGAUAUCAAACCAAGCACAGUUAUAUCAAAGGUUUGAAACUUUUGUUAGAGAGGCAGAAGACAAUUUCUAUGUUAUAAAUAACUCUUUAGCCGAUAAGGAGAGAAUAAUAGGAGAACUACAAACUAAAUUAUUCCUCGCUGAAGAAAAAAUCAGACAUCUACAAGAAAGCCUUAAAAAUAAAUACGGAUCACGUCCCUCUGAAGCCAUCACUUAUCCAUUGAGUGGGAAAAGUGUAUUACUUAUUGGAGAUUCUUGUCUAAAUGAAGUUAAACCUAGCGACCUUCAAGAUAGUGUCAUGGUAAGAACCCUACCAGAAGCAAAUAUGGACCUAGUAAAAUCUUGGGUAAUGGAACAGCUGGAACAUUCACCUAACGAAUGCGUUAUUUAAUGUGGAACUCAAGAUCUACUCGUCGAGGAUAUUACAGUGGAGGGAAUUAUCGACAAUCUGGGCACCGUUAUUGCUGAACUCAAAGAGAAAAAUCAAGAAAUAGAGGUAAAGGUCCGUGAGCUUGUACCAUCAAUGAAAACAAAUAAUUUACCUGAAAGAAUAACCGAAUAUAAUACCAAAAUGGAAGAAUGGUGUAAUAAAAAUGGAGUUACGUUGAUCAAAACACAAAAAUUCUUCAAGCUAGGAACUCGCGACCUAGAUAUUAACUGUUACGAUGCCCAAAAUGAUAAAUGCUAUGAUUUACUUAAUAGAGUAGGUGCCAUUAGAUUGUUAGAUGCUAUUUCCUCUGUAUGCUUAGAUAACUUUGUUUGUUCCAACUGGAAAGCUGUCAAAUCACAUUUAUGUAGUUUUAACAAUAAUAUUCUCAGACCUGAUACUAUGGAAGACGUAAGUACAGAAUUUUUGGCAAAUCGAGUGAAAAGGGGAAGAAAUAUAACAAGGCCCCAACAAAAUAAAAACAAGUACUUUAGGAACGAGAACCUCUCUCGAGUGGGACAUGCCAAUUCUCAAACGUGUUCUAGAUAUAAUAAUGAUAGUAAUGGCUCGGGCUAUACUUAUAGAAAUAACAAAAUUGGCAACUAUAGUAAUCAUUUUAAUAUUAGAGGUAAUAGAUAU